UACGGAGGAUGCGAGCGUUAUCCGGAUUUAUUGGGUUUAAAGGGUGCGUAGGCGGACGCUUAAGUCUGCGGUAAAAUUGCGGGGCUCAACCUCGUCGAGCCGUUGAAACUGGGUGCCUUGAGUGGGCGAGAAGUACGCGGAAUGCGUGGUGUAGCGGUGAAAUGCAUAGAUAUCACGCAGAACUCCGAUUGCGAAGGCAGCGUACCGGCGCCCAACUGACGCUGAAGCACGAAGGCGUGGGUAUCGAACAGG
rnacentral:rRNA from 1 species